UCGAACUGCUGACCUCAGGUGAUCCGCUCGCCUCGGCCUCCCAAAGUGUUGGGAUUAUAGGUGUGAGCCACUGUUCCCGGCCUAUAAAUUAAUUUUUAAUGAAGAUUUUAGAAAAUUUUAAAUUACAGUUGAUCCUUGAACAACACAGGUAUGAGCUAUGUGAGUCCACUUAUUCAUGAGUCUUCUUCCUCCUCUGGGAGGUGGCAAGACAGCAAGACCCACCCCUCCUCUUCCUCCUCCUCCUCCUCAGCCUACAAAGCAUGAAGAGAUGAAGACCUUUAUAAUGAUCCAGUUCCACUUAAUGAAGAAUGGAGUUUCACCCUGUCGCCCAGGCUGGAGUGUAGUGGCGUGAUCUCGGCUCACUAGAACCUCUGCCUCCCAGAUUCAAGUGAUUCUCCUGCCUCAGCCUCCCUAGUAGCUGGGAUUACAGGUGCGCACCACCAUGCCUGGCUAAUUUUUGUAUUUUUAGUAGAGAGGGGGUUUCACCAUGUUAGGCUGGUCUCGAACUCCUGACAUCACGUGAUCCACCCGCCUCUGCCUCCCAAAGUGCUGGGAUUACAGGCGUGAGCCACCAUGCCUGACCAAAAAAUUAAAUUUAAAAUCUUAAAAAGGUCAGCCCCGGUUGAAUAAAAAAUAGAGAGGGAUGGCUACUGGACGCCUGGUGCCGUUUCCGUCCAGAGCCCUGGAGGGCAGCAGGAUUCUCUCUGCCCACCAGGUGGCGCCAGAUCCCCGGCGUCCGGCUGCCCAGCGCUCGGUCCCCGCUGGGCAGCCGGGUGGAUGGGGCCCCAGGGAAGCCAGAGGCAGAGCCUGCAGGACCCACAGCAGGUCCUCGAAGGGACAUGCCCCAUUUGCUUUCCUCGCCUGAGCGUUCACCAUCAGCACCCUCCACAGUACAUGGAGGAGGGCUGUGGAUGAUGGGUGUGUCACGGGAAAAUGGAAGAGAAGGCUGAGCGUCUUGCAAAGCAGCUAUCGGGUGAUGGAGCCAGACAUUUGCACACCUGCAGGCUGGGUCACAUCCUGUUUUCUGAAGACGCUCACCAUGGGGCCUGUCUGCGCGGCCACCGGAGCCAGGAUCGAGCCCAGACAGUCCAGUCCCAAACAGACCGACACUCUUAAGUACUGGGCUUGCCGGCUGCCCCUCCCUGGGGUCAGAUCCCCUCCUGUUACAGAUGAGGAAACUGAGGCCCAGAGAGGGGAAUCGCUUGCUGAGGAUCCAUCCCUUGUGUGGAGCAGAACCAAAAUGAGGACUCCUGCCUGGUGGCUCCGAGGCCAGCACCCCUUCCUCCGCCAUCAUGGAAACCCCUAGUCCCUUCCUGACCAAGGAGCGCCGGCCCCCCUCCCGUGGGCUUUUCCCAGGAGCCUCCCUGUUCUGCCCAGUUCCCCCCUCCUCCCUUGCUCCAGACCCAAGCCACCCACAGACUACAACCCUUGCUACAGCCCCUUUCAACAGCCCCCGAGAGGAUUUCCACCAGGGAUUGGAAGAGGUCCUCAUCCCUCCCACCCCCGCGCCGGAUGGGGGCCGGAGGGGCAGGUGCGCGAGCGGCGCCGGAUGGAGGAUAGAGGGGCAGGAGGAGGUGUGGGCAGGCAUGUCUUUUCCGGGUCCCACCUGAGGCCCCAGGUGCAGCCCCCUCGCACCAUCCCCCGUCUGCCUGUGUCUGGGACCCAGGGCUGCGGCGGAGAUCCAUUUCCUCCCAGCCUCUGACCACCUGCUCCUGCCUCUCCGCACGUCUGCUUCUCCCCUCAUCCCCUUACCAAGCCCGGGCCUCUGCUCCUUUCCUGCAAGCUCCCCACAGUUAUCCUGCCUCUUCUCAGGGCACCCUUCCUUUCCUCCCAUGUCUCAGUGUUGUCUUCCCCUAGCUGGGCCCCGGGCAGCCCCCUCCCUGAGCACUCCUCCACCAGCUCUCAGUCCACAGCUGGGAAAACUGAGGCCUCUAAUCUGGGGGCUACUCAGGCACAUGGUUGGAGCUCGGUUAUCUGUGUGUCCCCAAGGCCUGCCACAGAGCCCAGCACUGGGGUAGACUCUGCAGUGGGAGAUGGUGGGUGGGUUCAGCUGUGCUGGAAUCUGGCUUCACCACUGCAUGCUGUGCAGCCUGAAGAAGGUCCCUCAACCUCUCUGAACCUCCAUUUUCUCAUUUGGAAAAUGAGGUCUAUUUUGUAGGGUUGUAGUGAGAAUUGACAAGACAAUGUUUGCAAAAUAAAUAUCACAGUA